GUGGGGAAUUUUGGACAAUGGGCGCAAGCCUGAUCCAGCAAUGCCGCGUGCAGGAAGAAGGCCUUCGGGUUGUAAACUGCUUUUGUACGGAACGAAACGGUCCUGGUUAAUACCUGGGGCUAAUGACGGUACCGUAAGAAUAAGCACCGGCUAACUACGUGCCAGCAGCCGCGGUAAUACGUAGGGUGCGAGCGUUAAUCGGAAUUACUGGGCGUAAAGCGUGCGCAGGCGGUUUUGUAAGAUCGAUGUGAAAUCCCCGGGCUCAACCUGGGAACUGCAUUGGUGACUGCAAGGCUGGAGUGCGGCAGAGGGGGAUGGAAUUCCGCGUGUAGCAGUGAAAUGCGUAGAUAUGCGGAGGAACACCGAUGGCGAAGGCAAUCCCCUGGGCCUGCACUGACGCUCAUGCACGAAAGCGUGGGGAGCAAACAGGAUUAGAUACCCUAGUAGUCC
rnacentral:rRNA from 1 species